rnacentral:rRNA from 1 species
UACGUAGGGGGCCAGCGUUGUCCGGAAUCAUUGGGCGUAAAGAGCGUGUAGGCGGCCAGGUAGGUCGGUUGUGAAACUGGAGGCUCAACCUUCAGAGGUCGACCGAAACCAUCUGGCUAGAGUCCGGGAGAGGAGAGUGGAAUCCGUGGUGUAGCGGUGAAAUGCGCAGAUAUCAGGAAGAACACCCGUGGCGAAAGCGGCUCUCUGGAACGGUACUGACGCUGAGACGCGAAAGCGUGGGGAGCGAACAGG